GACAAUUUAUUAAGAGUGCAAAAGAAGCAAUUAAAAUAUAUUAAAAUAUAUUAUGUAUUUUAAUGUUAUAAAUAUUAAUUGUGUUUAGCAUUGCAUUAAACUUACACAUAUUGAUCAAAUCUCAAUCAUUUAUAAAAUAAAAGAUAAAAAAUCAUGGCUAAAAUUCUCAAAUUUAUUUAUGAAGUUUUGUUUUUGUCCCUAUUCCUUCUUUCAGCGAAGGCUAUGUAUCCAUGUGAAACUACUGAUGAUUGUAUACGAGUAUUUAUUAGUGCUGAAAAGCUGAACUACUACCUUGAGUGCAUCGAGAAAGUAUGUGUAUCGUUUCCUAAAUAAGUAUAUGAAUUCUUGAAAUAUCAAAAAACUACAAAUAAUAUA